rnacentral:sRNA from 1 species
GCGACCGGCGGCUCCUUGGCGCGGAUUAGGGGGACUCGGCGAGGGAGUCAUCAAGCUUUGGUGUAUGUGUUCGCUGGUUCUGAAGUCUUGAAGAAGCUCUGUGCUGAGGAAGACCAAAGCAGCACUCGUUGCCAAUUAGAGAAUGGACCGUUUGGGUUCCUUUAGCAAUGAUCCCUCUGAUAAGCCACCUUGCCGAGGCUGCUCCUCCUACCUCAUGGAGCCUUAUAUCAAGUGUGCUGAAUGUGGGCCACCUCCUUUUUUCCUCUGCUUGCAGACUUCAGAUUUUCCUGUCCUUGAUCCCAGCUGGACUGCUCAAGAAGAAAUGGCCCUUUUAGAAGCUGUGAUGGACUGUGGCUUUGGAAAUUGGUAAGAGCUUGGUGUUAAGAGUUGUCCUGCCCUAGUGGGCUCAGAGAAGAAGCUGUUGUUGAAGAGUAAAGGAGGGAACCUCAGGAAGAGAAAGUAUGUGUUGCUUUCCUAUCAACCCAUGAUUUA